rnacentral:rRNA from 1 species
GCACGUAGUUAGCCGGUGCUUAUUCUUCAGGUACCGUCAUUCCCGGACUGUGUUAGAGCCGGUGUUUCUUCCCUGACAAAAGAGCUUUACAACCCGAAGGCCUUCUUCACUCACGCGGCAUUGCUGGAUCAGGGUUGCCCCCAUUGUCCAAAAUUCCCCAA